rnacentral:rRNA from 1 species
UGGGGAAUUUUGCACAAUGGGGGAAACCCUGAUGCAGCGACGCCGCGUGAUUUAGAAGGCCUUCGGGUUGUAAAAAUCUUUUCUAUGGGAAGAAAAUGACAGUACCAUAGGAAUAAGGACCGGCUAAUUACGUGCCAGCAGCCGCGGUAAUACGUAAGGUCCGAGCGUUGUCCGGAAUCAUUGGGCGUAAAGGGUACGUAGGCGGGUAAGCAAGUUAGAAGUGAAAUCCUAUAGCUCAACUAUAGUAAGCUUUUAAAACUGCUCAUCUUGAGGUAUGGAAGGGAAAGUGGAAUUCCUAGUGUAGCGGUGAAAUGCGCAGAUAUUAGGAGGAAUACCGGUGGCGAAGGCGACUUUCUGGCCAUAACCUGACGCUGAGGUACGAAAGCGUGGGUAGUAAACAGG